AAGUUGCAAAGCACUUUGAAGAGAGAGUUAAAGAGGACGUGAAACCGAUGAGGUGGAAACGGAUAGAACCAGCGUAUCUGGCCUGCAUUCAACCGCUCGCGGGAAGCGCUCGUGCAGCUGGCGACCCCAGAUUGGGACAGUUGUGCGAGUCAUGCUGGACGGUUUGGCGAGAGGUGCAUUUGCAGGUCGAGUGCGCCGAAAGGCUCGGGGUGUGAGCCCGGUUUUGAGGCCAGCUUGCUGGUACCCGGACUUGGGGGAGUGCUGUUUGUUCUGAGUUAUAACUGGGCAUGGCUUACGAUUAUGAAAGGACUGAAGGUUGGCGGCGGUCGCUUGCGACACGUGCUCAGCAGGUGCCAACAGUCCUAUCAUGGUUGGAUUCACUUGCCUAUUCUCGGUGUAAGAGCUGGUCAUCUCUCCGACCCGUCUUGAAACACGGACGUGCGCCCAAGGAGUUUAUCGUGUGCGCGAGUCAUUGGGCGUUGAAAACCCAAAUGAAAGUGAAGUGCCACGCAAGUGGCUGAUGUGCGAUGUUGUGUGCCAAGGCACACGACCGCAGCAUGGCCCCAUCCUGGCUGCUUGCAGCGGGGUGGAGGAAGAGGAUGAGACCCGAAAGAUGGUGAACUAAGGCGCAUUCCUGAGCAGGAUGAAGCCAGAGGAAACUCUGGUGGAAGUCCGAAGCGAUUCUGAAGUGCAAAUCGAUCGGGUAUGUCUGACUU
rnacentral:rRNA from 1 species